AGUGAACGCUGGCGGUAGGCCUAACACAUGCAAGUCGAACGGCAGCACAGUAAGAGCUUGCUCUUACGGGUGGCGAGUGGCGGACGGGUGAGGAAUACAUCGGAAUCUACUUUUUCGUGGGGGAUAACGUAGGGACACUUACGCUAAUACCGCAUACGACCUACGGGUGAAAGCAGGGGAUCUUCGGACCUUUCGCGAUUGAAUGAGCCGAUGUCGGAUUAGCUAGUUGGCGGGGUAAAGGCCCACCAAGGCGACGAUCCGUAGCUGGUCUGAGAGGAUGAUCAGCCACACUGGAACUGAGACACGGUCCAGACUCCUACGGGAGGCAGCAGUAGGGAAUAUUGGACAAUGGGCGCAAGCCUGAUCCAGCCAUACCGCGUGAGUGAAGAAGGCCUUCGGGUUGUAAAGCCCUUUUGUUGGGAAAGAAAAGCAGCAGGUUAAUACCCCGCUGUUCUGACGGUACCCAAAGAAUAAGCACCGGCUAACUUCGUG
rnacentral:rRNA from 1 species